rnacentral:rRNA from 1 species
GACGAACGCUGGCGGCGUGCUUAACACAUGCAAGUCGAACGGAAAGGCCCCUUUGGGGGUACUCGAGUGGCGAACGGGUGAGUAACACGUGAGUAACCUGCCCUUGACUUCGGGAUAACUUCGGGAAACUGGGGCUAAUACCGGAUAGGAAUCCUUGCUGCAUGGUGGGGGUUGGAAAGCUUCGGCGGUUUUGGAUGGACUCGCGGCUUAUCAGCUUGUUGGUGGGGUAGUGGCUUACCAAGGCUUUGACGGGUAGCCGGCCUGAGAGGGCGACCGGCCACAUUGGGACUGAGAUAAGGCCCAGACUCCUACGGGAGGCAGCAGUGGGGAAUAUUGCACAAUGGGCGGAAGCCUGAUGCAGCAACGCCGCGUGCGGGAUGACGGCCUUCGGGUUGUAAACCGCUUUCAGCAGGGGCGAAGCUUGUGGUGACGGUACCUGCAGAAGAAGCACCGGCUAACUACGUG